GUGGGGAAUCUUCCGCAAUGGACGAAAGCCUGACGGAGCAACGCCGCGUGAGUGAAGAAGGUUUUCGGAUCGUAAAGCUCUUUCGUUAGGGACGAACGUGCUCUUUGUGAAUAAUGAGGAGUAAUGACGGUACCUAAAUAAGAAGCCACGGCUAACUACGUGCCAGCAGCCGCGGUAAUACGUAGGUGGCAAGCGUUGUCCGGAAUUAUUGGGCGUAAAGCGCGCGCAGGCGGGAUAUCAAGUCUGUCUUAAAAGUGCGAGGCUCAACCUCGUGAGGGGACAGAAACUGGUAUUCUUGAGUGUCGGAGAGGAAAGUGGAAUUCCAAGUGUAGCGGUGAAAUGCGUAGAGAUUUGGAAGAACACCAGUGGCGAAGGCGACUUUCUGGACGAUGUCUGACGCUGAGGCGCGAAAGCUAGGGGAGCGAACGGGAUUAGAAACCCCUGUAGUCC
rnacentral:rRNA from 1 species